UACGUAGGUGGCGAGCGUUGUCCGGAUUUACUGGGCGUAAAGAGCGCGCAGGCGGUCGUACAAGUCGCGUGUGAAAGCCCCCGGCUCAACUGGGGAGGGUCACGCGAUACUGUUCGACUCGAAGGCAGGAGAGGGUAGUGGAAUUCCCGGUGUAGUGGUGAAAUGCGCAGAUAUCGGGAGGAGCACCAGUGGCGAAGGCGACUACCUGGCCUGUUCUUGACGCUGAGGCGCGAAAGCUAGGGUAGCAAACGGG
rnacentral:rRNA from 1 species